rnacentral:tRNA from 1 species
GUCCCUGUAGCUCAGUGGAUAGAGCAGUAGCCUCCUAAGCUAUGUGCACAGGUUCGACUCCUGUCAGGGACG